GAGCCCGGGGAGGUGGAUGGGACGGGAACACAAACCAACCAAAGCGUUCUUUAUUCCUAACUCCUAACUCAGGUGUCACGACCUGCAGUCCCGGAUGCAGAGAAAUCUGGGUGUGCGUGGGAUUGGCUGCUUUCCUCCUUCAGAAGGUCAGGGAAGACGCAGAGCUGAGCAUCCCCGGCUCCCAGCCCCAGAUCCCCUUGGAAUUCCCAGUGUCUACAAUUGUUCUCCUAAGCCAGGAGCAAAGGCCUGAGGCUGGACAGACACAGACGCUGCAGAAGUUUCCUCAUGGAUAGCACCCGCUUCUUGAACUACACAGUCCUUAAUCAUCUGAGAGCCACGGGGGAUCCUACGAGAAAAACAAGUGUCCCUUUAUAGCCGAAGGACCUCAUCUGCUCUUUCUUCUGAGUUUUAAAACACAUGGGCCAUCCGCUU
rnacentral:lncRNA from 1 species